AACGAACGCUGGCGGCAGGCCUAACACAUGCAAGUCGAGCGGACCCUUCGGGGUUAGCGGCGGACGGGUGAGUAACGCGUGGGAAUAUGCCCUUCUCUACGGAAUAGUCCUGGGAAACUGGGGGUAAUACCGUAUACGCCCUUUGGGGGAAAGAUUUAUCGGGGAAGGAUUAGCCCGCGUUGGAUUAGGUAGUUGGUGGGGUAAUGGCCUACCAAGCCGACGAUCCAUAGCUGGUUUGAGAGGAUGAUCAGCCACACUGGGAGAGAGACACGACCCAGACACAUCGGGGAGGCAGAAGGGGGGAAUAUGGGAAAAUGGGGAAGCCCCUGAUCGGCCCAUGCGGCGAGGAGGUGGAGGCCCUGGGGGUUGUAAAGCCCUUUCAGCUGGAAAUAAAAGGACGGUCCCAGCAAAGGAGCCCCCGCCACCGCCCGUC
rnacentral:rRNA from 1 species